GCGUCGGUAGUGCUAUGGUUAACACAGGUCCCUAUAAAGCGUCAAAUGCGGGUUCGAAUCCCGUUCGACGUU